GUGGCUCUUAUUUUAUAAUUUAUUUUUUUAAAGCUGGAUAUGAUUUUUACCAUCAUGCUUGUUAAUUAUUAGAUUGUCUCCAUUUCUUUUCAGGCUCGCACUGAAAGAAUCUUAUAUAUUAUUGAAUGAAAUGGGGAGAAAAGGUAAGAUCAAAGAAUAUUUCUGACUCCUGAAAUAUGGAGUCUUUGGACAUCUUGGGUGGUAUAUCUCUCCUUGGAUGACUGAUCAGACACUACCUUCAAACCUCUCUUUUGAUACGGUGAACCCUAGAGUGUCCCAUGUAGUCCCAGAUAUGUCUUCUUGGAUCCUACUCUUAUCUGAGAUUUUAAGAAAGGGCAACUCCUCCUGAAAGAAGAGGAGAUAAGUCUCUGCCUGCUAGAAGAGAAGCUACUUGGCCAAACAUCACCAUAUAAACUGCAACCUAACCAAGGAA